rnacentral:rRNA from 1 species
UAUCUCUGUAGAGUCUGCAUAUCAAUAAGCGGAGGAAAAGAAACUAACUAGGAUUCCCUCAGUAACGGCGAGUGAAGCGGGAAGAGCUCAAAUUUGAAAUCUUCAAGGUUCUACCUUGACGAAUUGUAGUUUAAAGAAGUGUUUUCUGUUGGAGUUUUGGUAAAAGUUCUUUGGAAUAGGACAUCAUAGAGGGUGAGAAUCCCGUAUUUGACCAUUACUUUCCAGCUUUGUGAUACACUUUCAAAGAGUCGGAUUGUUUGGGAAUGCAGUCCAAAAUGGGUGGUAAAUUUCAUCUAAAGCUAAAAAUAUUGGCGAGAGACCGAUAGCGAACAAGUACCGUGAGGGAAAGAUGAAAAGAACUUUGAAAAGAGAGUUAAACAGUACGUGAAAUUGUCAAAAGGGAAGCGUUUGACACCAGUGUUGUUUUCUCGAAAAUCAAUUAAAAAAGGCAGGAUUUUGUGUUGUAUUGACUUUAUCAGCUUUCUGCACUCUUUUCUUGUCUUUUUUAAUGCACUUUUCGUUUAACAAGUCAACAUCAAUUUCUUUUGUUGUAAAAGGGUCAUUGGAAGGUGGCUUUCUUUUCGGAGAAAGUGUUUAUAGCCUUUGGCCUCUGCAAUCGGAGAGGAUUGAGGUCUGCAGCGUAGAUCCUUCGGGGUUAGAUACAUUUGUGCUAAGUUAUAGCCUUUCAUAGACAACUUGUUGACUAUGAUCAGUCAUGUAGCUUACUCGCUUAUGCUAUUUUACCUACGCUUAGGAUGUUGACGAUCAGCUGAGCGCG